rnacentral:rRNA from 1 species
UACGUAGGGUGCAAGCGUUAAUCGGAAUUACUGGGCGUAAAGCGUGCGCAGGCGGUUGUGCAAGACCGAUGUGAAAUCCCCGGGCUUAACCUGGGAAUGGCAUUGGUGACUGCACGGCUAGAGUGUGUCAGAGGGGGGUAGAAUUCCACGUGUAGCAGUGAAAUGCGUAGAGAUGUGGGGGAAUACCGAUGGCGAAGGCAGCCCCCUGGGAUAACACUGACGCUCAUGCACGAAAGCGUGGGGAGCAAACAGG